rnacentral:rRNA from 1 species
CCUACGGGAGACAGCAGUGAGGAAUAUUGGUCAAUGGGCGAAAGCCUGAACCAGCCAAGUAGCGUGAAGGAUGACUGCCCUACGGGUUGUAAACUUCUUUUAUCAGGGAAUAAAGUGAGGCACGUGUGCCUUUUUGUAUGGACUUUAUGAAUAAGGAUCGGCUAAAUCCGUGCCAGCAGCCGAGGUAAUACGGGGGAUCCGAGCGUUAUCCGGAUUUUUUGGGGUGAAAGGGAGCGUAGAUGGGUUGUUAAGUCAGUUGUGAAAGUUUGCGGCUCAACCGUAAAAUUGCAAUUGAUACUGGCAGUCUUGAGUACAGUUGAGGUAGGCGGAAUUCGUGGUGGAGCGGUGAAAUGCUUAGAUAUCACGAAGAACUCCGAUUGCGAAGGCAGCUUACUAAACUGCCACUGACAUUGAUGCUCGAAAGUGUGGGUAGCAAACAGGAUUAGAUACCCGGGUAGUC